AUGUGGCAAAAACGAACACCAGGUGUCACCAAAGUAAAUACACAACAUUAAAAAAAGUCACAUUUCUAAGCAAAAAAACUGUUUUUCAAACAAAAUAGAUCAACUAAACUCAAUAUUAACUCGUAAACACAUCAGAAAAACAUCUGCGACCCCGAACUUGUUUUACAUUGUGAGUAAUAUCGACUUUUCAAGAAGGCGAUUUCAUCAAAAAUGGCAGCCAAAUUGAUUAUCUUCCUCUUUAAUUGUUACUGUGAAUUAAAUAGUUACUGUGAACCCUCUCAAAAUGUCACGUAGUCAUAGUAACGAAAUAAACAAUUUAGUUUAAUCCAGCUUUUUUGAUUAAUGAAUUUUGAGAAGACUCUAA